UGGGGAAUAUUGCACAAUGGGCGAAAGCCUGAUGCAGCAACGCCGCGUGUGUGAAGAAGGUCUUCGGAUUGUAAAGCACUUUCGACGGGGACGAUGAUGACGGUACCCGUAGAAGAAGCCCCGGCUAACUUCGUGCCAGCAGCCGCGGUAAUACGAAGGGGGUCUAGCGUUGCUCGGAAUGACUGGGCGUAAAGGGCGUGUAGGCGGUUUACACAGUCAGAUGUGAAAUCCCCGGGCUUAACCUGGGAGCUGCAUUUGAUACGUGUAGACUAGAGUGUGAGAGAGGGUUGUGGAAUUCCCAGUGUAGAGGUGAAAUUCGUAG
rnacentral:rRNA from 1 species